GACGAACGCUGGCGGCGUGCCUAAUACAUGCAAGUCGAGCGCAGGAAGUCGACGGAACCCUUCGGGGGGAAGUUGAUGGAAUGAGCGGCGGACGGGUGAGUAACACGUAAAGAACCUGCCCUCAGGUCUGGGAUAACCACGAGAAAUCGGGGCUAAUACCGGAUGGGUCAUCGGACCGCAUGGUCCGAGGAUGAAAGGCGCUUCGGCGUCGCCUGGGGAUGGCUUUGCGGUGCAUUAGCUAGUUGGUGGGGUAAUGGCCCACCAAGGCGACGAUGCAUAGCCGACCUGAGAGGGUGAUCGGCCACACUGGGACUGAGACACGGCCCAGACUCCUACGGGAGGCAGCAGUAGGGAAUCUUCCACAAUGGACGAAAGUCUGAUGGAGCAACGCCGCGUGAACGAUGAAGGCCUUCGGGUCGUAAAGUUCUGUUGUAAGGGAAGAACAAGUGCCGCAGGCAAUGGCGGCACCUUGACGGUACCUUGCGAGAAAGCCACGGCUAACUACGUG
rnacentral:rRNA from 1 species